AAUUGACCGAACCGCACAUCUCCGAUCUUGCCAAUGCUUCCCUUCCUCUCCCCCACGAUACAUAAAUUUACGUUGGUAUUUCAUACUACGAGCUAGCAUAAUCGCAAGUUAGUGCUGUAACAUCCUAACUACAGAGUACUGCUAUUAAUAAACGACCACGUCGCGACCACCUGCCUUACAGUGCGUACACGUCAGGAACCACUUGACAACGACAACCUGUCGGAUCGUCCCGGUACGUUCUCCCUUUUCAAGAUAAUGCUAGUAGAAACAAAUUGCCCAAAGAAAUAGGCGCUAUAUCGAGAAAAGUCAGAAACGGAGAGAGCAACGCCCUGCCAUCAUGGCUGCUUAUGAACCGGCGUUUGUCCUCGAUCUUUUCGCCGUUAAGAUUAUGACAGAUCGCCGUGAAACGCGCUAAAUUAAUAACAGUGUUGAACUUAACACUCUGAACGGUACAGUACUUACCUUUUAGAAUCGAAGGUAACCAACAAAGUACACGAUCGUUGAUCGGCAAAGAGACACCGCAAGAAUACUAUCGGCACGACGAAACGAGACUCGAGAGCCGCGAGUUGCGAACACUGUGAGUGAGCAAGAUCGUGGCCGGUACCGUGUCAUGUGGACUCGCUCAAAGAAUGGAUUCGUCCGGCUUCCCCACCACUUGGAUUCACAGCUCUUGCCAUAUAUGGGCAUAAAACGAAAGCGGCUCGCUGAUUGGUCGGUUGGCCGGCUGCCGGCUAGAUUCUCCAAAUGCCGCUUCAAACUGUACGAUACGGGGAGCAUAAUGCCUUCUGGAAGCGUACACUAGCUAAGGGCUUUCCUGACUAACCGUCAGAGCUGUUUGUAGUAGUAAACGUAUCAAUAUGUACGAACGUAUAUGUGAAGAUUAUCACGUUCUUUGUGUGCGCGUGCUAGCGACCAGUACCGGCAGUAGAAGCUAAAAAUAGACUCAAGGGCGCGGAUAAGGGUGCACUGGACUACUACCACGUCACGUAAGCCCUAUGCUUCGGCCCUAUUUCCUGUAUAUGUGUCGGUCCGACGGAAGGCGGCAUGGUGUGUGUGAGUGCAGUGUCUGCUUCAAAAUCGAUACGCGUGUUCGUGCAGUCUACAAUGGUACAUCGUACUUGUGCACGGAAACCACGUGGUGAUGGAAACGUCAAAGUACGACUGAUGAUACUGGUUGUUAUUUUGUCGUAAAACAUUUUGUAAUUAACACGUUUAUCAGUCGUAAUCAUUACUAUUAAUAAAGCAUGUUGUUAUCAGUUAAAAAGCAAAAUACAAAGAAAUUAAUUAAUAGCGACGUUGAUGAAAUAUCGUUCGUUUAAAUAUACAAUUAUACGUUUUUUAAGUCGUAAUAGCGUUUGAGUUAAUACAAUAUCGUAAAUCUUAAAAUCUAUUUAAAAAUGUGUUUUCAAAGUUGGCUCAUUCAUAUUAACAGAACAUUCGCAUACAUACUUUGAACUUAAUGCCUUAUAAGAAAUACAUGUGAGAUACGUACCAUUGAUUAUUAAUAUAUUGUUUAAGUUUGGACAUUGCGAAAGGUAUAGUGGAGGAAACAGAACAGUUUUAUAAAUACACCUGCCACGUUCCUUUGUCGAAAUAGUGCUUUGAUGACAUAAUCAGUGAAUCAUUUGUACCUAAUAAGAAAUCGUAUCGGGUUAUGCACUCGUUCCUCUACGAGGACGUGUCAAAUUCUGUUCUUGAUUUUAUUUUUGAUUACGUGUAGAAUUUCAUGAUUAUUUUUAUUUUUUAAAUUUAACCACCAUACUUUAUAUGGACGUCAAAUUUAAAUAUACGUCAUUAAUGUGCCAGAUAAACGGAUGGACUGCUUCACCCAAGUCUAACCUAACCUCGAAACAUCGAAGCCGGCACCCAGCUGUCACACGCACACAGCAUCUUUAUACACGUCAAUUUCGUGUAACUCCAUUGUCCUUUUAACCGCUCAGGUUUUUAUUAGACAAUACGUUAUUUUAUUCAAGUAUAAUAUCAAAAGAUAAAUACAAUACAAUGGUAUCUACGGAAA